UACGAAGGGGGGCUAGCGUUGCUCGGAAUCACUGGGCGUAAAGGGUGCGUAGGCGGGUUUUUAAGUCAGGGGGUGAAAUCCUGGAGCUCAACUCCAGAACUGCCUUUGAUACUGAAGAUCUUGAGUUCGGGAGAGGUGAGUGGAACUGCGAGUGUAGAGGUGAAAUUCGUAGAUAUUCGCAAGAACACCAGUGGCGAAGGCGGCUCACUGGCCCGAUACUGACGCUGAGGCACGAAAGCGUGGGGAGCAAACAGG
rnacentral:rRNA from 1 species